GACGAACGCUGGCGGCGUGCCUAAUACAUGCAAGUUGAGCGCUGAAGGUUGGUACUUGUACCAACUGGAUGAGCAGCGAACGGGUGAGUAACGCGUGGGGAAUCUGCCUUUGAGCGGGGGACAACAUUUGGAAACGAAUGCUAAUACCGCAUAAAAACUUUAAACACAAGCUUUAAGUUUGAAAGAUGCAAUUGCAUCACUCAAAGAUGAUCCCGCGUUGUAUUAGCUAGUUGGUGAGGUAAAGGCUCACCAAGGCGAUGAUACAUAGCCGACCUGAGAGGGUGAUCGGCCACAUUGGGACUGAGACACGGCCCAAACUCCUACGGGAGGCAGCAGUAGGGAAUCUUCGGCAAUGGACGAAAGUCUGACCGAGCAACGCCGCGUGAGUGAAGAAGGUUUUCGGAUCGUAAAACUCUGUUGGUAGAGAAGAACGUUAGUGAGAGUGGAAAGCUCAUCAAGUGACGGUAACUACCCAGAAAGGGACGGCUAACUACGUG
rnacentral:rRNA from 1 species